AUUCAAAUAGCUUAUAUUAGAGCAUGGCAUUGAAGAUGCUAAUGAGAUACAAUGGUUAUCUUUGGGUA
rnacentral:tRNA from 1 species